rnacentral:lncRNA from 1 species
AAUGAAAUAAAAAUUAUAGAAAAGUAAAUCGAUCUUCCCAUGAAUAAUACAACAUUUUAAUAGUUAAACAAUAUCGGUGACAAUACUGAUCGGAUUAUAUCAAAACAACAAUCGUAUAUUCAAAAGCAUAUUUGUGUUAUCGAAAUAUAGAUGAUUUUUUUUUCAUUUUUAAUAAUAAAAUAAAAACAUUAAAGAGACUGUAAAAUUCGAAAAGGUUUAAUUUUUAAACAAAAAUUUAAUGAAGUGGAUGUAAUUAUGUAUAGAUACUGUACGGCCUUCAACAACUAGAAAACCCCUCGUCGUAUAGUAAAAGACCAAUCCAUGAAAAGUAUGCACUUAUGAAAACUUACGGCUUAAUUAGAACAAAAAUACCCCCCAAAAAAACCGAACUACCUGCAUCUGACUUGGCACAAGCAAAUAAGGAAUGUGGUUGGGUUAAGCAUAUUUGUGAAUGUUCAACCCUCCCAUAUACUAGUACAACACAUCAUUUAAAAUUACUUUACAAAACUCAACAGAUCAUAUUAAAUCAGAAAAACAUCUAACAAAAACACAGUCUAGAAAUAGCAGGGUAUUUAUACAUUCUUUACAACACGAUGACACAAAGUACAAAUCUGAGCUUCUUCGCCGUCAUUGACUGAUAGUUCUUAGCCAAUAAUACCUAACAACAUUUUUUUUUUAUCCAAGGUUAACAUAUCAAUCAUAACACAUCCAAUAUUUAAAAAUAAAUUGACUGCUAGAAAUUUCUCUGGGCACUCUAAAUAUGACUUAAUCAAUCAAUGAAAAC